UUGCCCACCUGGAGCUCCCGGUGCACCACGUGGCCAGAACAGAGGGGUAAAGCAGCUUUCUCUCUCAAACCCGGGCCAGACCAUCCCCGCCUCUGCCCCGGAUCCUGUCGUGAGAAACAGGC
ensembl:snoRNA